CUGAGUCGGCUCAGCGCCUGGUCAUCCGUAUGGGAAACUAGCUCGACCUUCACUGGUCGGCUAGUGGAUCAUACACUUUACUUUGAAAAAAUUAGAGUGUUUCAGGCAGGCAAUUGCUUGGAUACUGUAGCAUGGAAUAAUGGAAUAGGACUUUGACCUAUUUGUUGGUUUCUCGAGGUCAAAGUAAUGAUUAAUAGGGACAGUUGGGGGCAUUCGUAUUUAAUUGUCAGAGGUGAAAUUCUUGGAUUUUUUAAAGACGAACUUAUGCGAAAGCAUUUGCCAAGUGCGUCUUCAUUAAUCAAGAACGAAAGUCAGAGGUUCGAAGGCGAUCAGAUACCGCCCUAGUUCUGACCGUAAACGAUGCCAACUAGCGAUCCGCUGGUGGCCCUUAGGCCCUAGUGGGGAGCUUCCCGGAAACGAAAGUCUUCCGGUUCCGGGGGAAGUAUGGUUGCAAAGCUGAAACUUAAAGGAAUUGACGGAAGGGCACCACCAGGAGUGGAGCCUGCGGCUUAAUUUGACUCAACACGGGAAAACUCACCCGGCCCGGACACCGUGAGGAUUGACAGAUUGAUAGCUCUUUCAUGAUUCGGUGGUUGGUGGUGCAUGGCCGUUCUUAGUUCGUGGAUCGAUUUGUCUGGUUUAUUCCGAUAACGAGCGAGACUCUAGCCUACUAACUAGUGCGGGCAUUGCCGCUGUGCCUCGCCGCACUUCUUAGAGGGAUUGGGCUG
rnacentral:rRNA from 1 species